GCCCACCAUCUGAACUUUUACCUCCCCCCACUUCAGCCGCAAGUCCUAGCCACAUUACCUCACCUAAGUCAACCUCAUCUUUUAGUUUCCAAAACCAGCAUACCAACCCUUCCAACUUGGCCUCACCCUCUUUUUCACAAUCUUCUCUAUCCGCAGUCACUUUCUGUGAGGGCCCUACCACUUUACACACUGGUUCUCUAAACUCCACCUCAACCAACAAACCAGACCUUCCUUUUAUCAGUUCUGAUACAAAGAGUUAUCUUUCCAGUCCCACCAAGGAAGAUGAAUUCAUUGCUCAACCCCUUGAUAAGGCCAUAUUUGGCGAUCGACUAAAUGAUGCCAACCAUUUGCCAAUUCACUCUCUUCCCCCUCUUCUACAAGACUUGAGCCCCAUUCAAAAUUCCCCAUCUACUUCCCCGAUUAGCCAUGGUUUCGACUCUAAAUGUCCUUUACCCAAUUAAUCAACCGCCACCAUCUUCUCCACCCUCCCAUGAAUGGCUUCUUUAUUGUCCUUACAUGGUUUAUGUGUUAUGGCUAUUCCUUCUAUCCUUCCUCCUAAUCCCAAAAAAAAAAAGACCAAUACUACUAGCAAAAAACAAAGCUUCAAAGGGAAUCACAAGGCCUUUUUUCUUCAAUUCACUAUCAUAAAUCUGCCACCUUGGGUAUUAAGAAGGGAUCAUUUGAUGAUCCAUGAAAUUCCUCACCUGGAAUGUCUGCGGUCUUAAUUCUUGGUGGUAGCGUGCUUUGGUUAAGAAGCUUAUUCAGCAACAUAACCCUGGUAUUGUCCUCCUACAAGAAACAAAUUCAUCAUUUGUUGUUUCCUCAUUGAUUAAACCCAUAUGGAGCUCUUCCUUUAUUGGCUGGACUGCUUUGGAUGCUAUUGAUACGCCAAGGGGUAUUCUUAUUUUAUGGAGUGAGCCUGAUUUCUCAAUCCUCGAGGUUAUACAGGGUCACUUUUCCAUUUCAAUUCAUGUAUCAUUAACUGAUGGUUUUUCUUUUUGGCUUUCAACAAUUUAUGGCCCUUCAUGCUUUUCGAGCUAAUUUUUUGCAAGAACUUGGAUUUAGCUAGUUUGGGAAGUGACAACUGAGUUAUUGGUGGUGACUUCAAUGUCACUAGAUGGUCUUGGGAAAAAUCAAUUGAUAGAACAAAUUCCUCUCGUAUGCAUGCCUUGAAUCAAUGGAUAUCUGAUUAUAAAUUACGAGAUAUUCCUUUGUCGAAUGGUUGCUUUACAUGGUCAAGCUCUGGUCUUAUACAAAAUCUAUCUCUUCUUGAUUGGUUUUUGCUUACUGAGAAUUGUCUUUGUAAAUUUGGAAUAGUUACACUCAAGCGAUUGGAUCGCAUCACAUUUGGUCAUUUCCCAUCAGUCUUAUCUUCUGGCAAUAUUGAUUGGGCCCUUGUCCCUUUAAAUUAGAACUCUUGGCUAUAUGUGCCUUCUUUCCGUUCCUUGGUGGAGAAUUGGUGGAAUUUCCAUCCUAUUGAUGACUGGUUGGGCCAUGGUUUUAUGUUGAAGCUUCAGGAUUUGAAAAUUAUUAUUCGUGAUUGGAAUAAUGCUCAGUGCAAUGCUGUUAAUAAUCUUCCCUCUCUUGUCUUGAAGUUAAUCAAUUUAGAUGAACUAGAAGAUAAAGGUGCCUUUAAUGAGGAUCAACUAAUACGGCGCACGCCCAAUAAAUAUACAACUUCUUUAAUUUUUUUUUCUUUUUUUUCCGUUGAAAAGAAAAAUACUCAAGAGAGACGAAAUCUAACCCCUAAACUCAUGAAAGGGCCAAUGAAAUGCCAUGCCUGAUAUCAAUUUGAUUUUCAAUCAUAUCCUAAACAGUCGACGGUUUUGCAUGCAUUUUCAAUUGAAUUCUUCAUCUUCUUCGUUCGACUCCAAAUUCUACAACUUUUGUUCUUCCUUGCUUUCUUUUUCAAUUCUUCGUCUUCUCAUGUUCUUCUUCUUCUGACAUGAUCAGGAGCUUCUGUUUUUUUUUUCUUCAGUAGACUUGUCUUCUUAUUCAUUUGACUGCAUAUUCGGUUGAUUUGUUUCAGUCUUUCUUCUUCAGCUUCUUUCUUCUUCGACUUCUUGCUGAGUUGUUGGUUCUUCCAUGAGUUGGGUUUUCAAUGAAAUGUUUCUUUUAUAAAUCAUUUUUCAGAGGUUCUUUAAUUGAAUCUUCAAUUUAAAUCAUUAAAAUGUAAAUAAUAGUAAUAUUAUUAUUUAAUCUUUUGUAUAAUAAAUUUGAAACAUUAAUAUUUUUAUAUUUUAAUUUCUUUCAGUUAGUGGAGGGCAGAUUAUAAUUUCUUUUUUUAUUGUUUUCUAUUUCUUUUUUCUUUGAAACCACUUAGAUGAUUCUGAUUUCAUUUUCUGGUGAGAUUUCUUUUUCAUAUUUAUUGAGGCGAGGUGUGAUAUUUCGACUUUUUUACCAUUUAGUAUUAAUCUUGCAAGGCCUUGACGGUCUAUGUGACUAUAUAUAAAAAUUCAUGCCAUCUGUAAAUAUAUUUAUAUUAUAUUAUUUAUUUAUUGCCCCUCUCAUCACUCAAGCGACGCCUUUUUGUCAUCUCUCACCUGGAGGCAAUCAUGGGACUUUUCGUCUUGAGGCCCCCUCUUCUGUUAUUGGUUGCCUUGAUAAGCUGGUUAAAGAUUUCUUUUGUGAAGGUUCUCGUGGUGAUGGUGGCUUACAUAAUGUGAAUUGAGUGGUUUCUCAGCGCCCUCAAUUAUGGGGUGGUCUUGGCAUUGAACAUUGAAACUAUACUCUUCUUGCCAAAUGGACAUGGUGCUUCUUCCAAAGCUCCUUAGAGGUAUAUUUAUAAAUUUACCAAUCUGAUUGCCAAUCGAAUUAGACGCCCUACAGGUGAUGGUUCUUCUACUCUGGCAUGACUCUUGGCUAAGUUAUGGUGUCCUUGCCAACACUUAUCCAAGGCCCUUUCGUCUUGUGCAACAACCUAAGUUUACUAUUGCUAAUGCUUGGAUCUCUUCUACAUCUGUUUGGAAUUUGAAUUUGCGUCACAAUCUUACUGAGUUGGAGAUUGUUGAAUGGGCUUUAUUAUCCCUUCAUCUGGCAUAUGUCCGCUUAUGUUCCUCCCUUGAUGCUUGGUUGUGGCCUCUUGAUCCUUCUAUAGGCUUUACUGUUAAAUCUCUUAUGACUGAUUUGGUGGGUGAUAUGGAUUCGAUUUUGACUGACCUUUAUUCAGUGAUUUGGAAUGAUAGAUAUCCCAAACAGAUUAAAAAUCUUUUUUUGGGAGCUUGACUGGGGUGCCAUCAAUACUACUGAUCGUUUGCAGCGACGCAUAUCUCAUAUGUCUCUUUCUCCCUCUUGGUGUCAUAUGUGUCAUAAGCAUGCUGAGUCGCCGGUUCAUCUUUUUUUCCACUGUUCUUUUGAUACUAAUAUUUAGGAUCUUAUCUUGCCAACUUUUGGUUGGUCUUUCACUUGUCCUAAUAACAUUUGUGAUGCUUUGGCCUCUAUAUCAGUGGGUCAUCCUUUUGGUGGUACUAAGCAAGUGAUUUGAUUGGCCUUCAUUCGUGCGUUCCUUUGGUGCUUAUGGGGUGAAAGGAACAGAAUACUUUUUAAUGAUACAUGUUCUUCUAGUGCUCGGUUUUUAGAACUCGUUUUGUCUAUUGCUUUUUCUUUGUGUAAAUUAAAGUACCCUUUCAAUCACUUCAGUUUAUCUUUUUUAGUCAGUAAUUGAUGAUCUCUAUUGUAAUAUCUUUGCUUAGGGUUCUCCCCUUAUACUUAUCAAUAAAUUGUUUCUUUUACCGAAAAAAUUUCGGUAAUCAAAUUAAUUUCAACGUGAAAGACAAAUUUAAAAGUCGUA